UAACUUCAGGAUGAGAUGCUGCCAGGUGUGUGGGACGGGCUGGACCCCACGGCGGAACUGAGUUCCGGCCCCCGCUCCGCAGCUCCAGCUUUGACCGCCCCGACGCCCUUGGGAGAGCGUCUCGCGCGCAGCGAUGGGCAGCGUGCUGUACCCAGCCCUUCGUGGUUUUCCUGAAAGGGGCCUCUUCACAUCUCUCAUUACUCCCCUUACUUAUUAAGCUGUUUGAGAAACCUUUUGCCGGUGGCUUUCUAGAAGAUGACCAUAGAGGACCUUCCGGAUUUUCCAUUAGAAGGAAGUUCGUUGAUUGGAAGAUACCCAUUUUUAUUUCAAGGUUCUGAUACACCAGUUAUCUUUUCCAUAUCUGCAGCACCAAUGCCUUCAGACUGUGAGUUUUCUUUCUUUGAUCCUAAUGAUACAUCAUGCCAGGAAAUUCUCUUCGAUCCCAAAACUUCUGUAUCAGAAUUAUUUGCCAUUUUAAGACAGUGGGUUCCUCAGGUCCAGCAAAAUAUUGACGUUAUUGGAAAUGAGAUUCUUAAGAGAGGUUGCAACGUGAAUGACAGAGAUGGAUUGACAGAUAUGACUCUUUUACAUUAUACUUGCAAAUCUGGAGCUCAUGGUAUUGGUGAUGUUGAUACAGCUGUAAAGUUUGCAACUCAACUUAUCGAUCUGGGAGCAGAUGUUAGUUUGCGGAGUCGCUGGACAAAUAUGAAUGCUUUGCAUUAUGCUGCUUAUUUUGAUGUCCCUGAACUUAUAAGAGUGAUUUUGAAGACAUCUAAACCAAAAGAUGUGGAUGCCACUUGCAGUGACUUUAAUUUUGGAACAGCUCUGCAUAUUGCUGCAUAUAACCUGUGUGCAGGUACUGUGAAAUGCUUAUUGGAGCAUGGAGCAAACCCUGCAUUUAGGAAUGACAAAGGACAGAUCCCUGCUGACGUUGUCCCAGACCCGGUCGAAAUGCCCUUAGAAAUGGCCGAUGCCGCGGCAACUGCUAAAGAAAUCAAGCAGAUGCUGCUCGAUGCGGUGCCUCUGUCAUGUGAUCUCUCAAAGCCCUUGCUUCCAAGUUACGACCGUGUUACUAGCAAGGUGAUGCUGACGUCACUUGGCCUGAAGCUGGGGGAUCGUGUCGUUAUUGCAAGACAGAAGGUUGGAACAUUAAGAUUUUGUGGAACAACUGAAUUUGCAAGUGGGCAGUGGGCUGGCAUUGAGUUGGAUGAACCAGAAGGAAAAAACAAUGGAAGUGUUGGGAAAGUCCAGUACUUUAAAUGUGCCCCCAAAUAUGGUAUUUUUGCACCCCUUUCAAAGAUAAGUAAAGCAAAAGAUCGAAGGAAGAAUACAGCACACACUCCUCCUACAAAAGCUGUACCUCUCGUCAGGUCCCAGAAAAUUGAUGUAGCGCAUGUAACGUCAAAAGUACAUACUGGAUUAAUGACAUCAAAAAAAGAUAGUGCUUCAGAAUCAACACUUUCAUUGCCUCCUGGUGAAGAAUUGAAAACUGGAGCAGAGAAAGAUGUUACCCUGCUUGCAUCCGUCAGCAGCUCCUCCUCUACAUCUUCUUUGGAGCACAAGCAGAGUCACUCCAAGACACUGAAUGCAAGUGGCAAUAACAAGAAAACAAUGAGCAAAAGCCCUUCUGUCUCAUCUAGAGCCAGUGCCGGUUUGAAUUCCUCAGCAACAUCUGUAGCAAGUAAUGCACGCUGCGAAGGAGAACUCCGCCUUGGAGACAGGGUGUUGGUGGUGGGCCAGAGAAUUGGUACCGUUAAGUUCUUUGGGACAACAAACUUCGCUCCAGGAUAUUGGUACGGGAUAGAGCUUGAUAAACCCCAUGGCAAGAAUGAUGGUUCAGUUGGAGGUGUGCAGUAUUUUAGUUGUUCCCCAAGAUAUGGAAUAUUUGCUCCCCCAUCCAGGGUACAAAGAGUAACAGAUUCCCUGGAUACUCUUUCAGAAAUUUCUUCAAAUAAACAGAAUCAUUCAUAUCCUGGUUUUAGGAGAAGUUUCAGUACAACUUCUGCUUCUUCCCAGAAAGAGAUUAACAGAAGAAAUGCUUUUGCCAAGUCGAAGCCCGCUCUGCGCCGCAGCUGGAGCAGCAGCACCACGGCCGGCGGCCUGGAGGGGCGCGUGAGGCUGCACGAGGGCUCCCAGGUCCUCCUCACCAGCUCCAACGAGAUGGGCACCGUUAGGUACCUGGGCCCCACUGACUUUGCCUCAGGGAUCUGGCUUGGACUGGAGCUUCGAAGCGCCAAGGGAAAGAACGAUGGGGCAGUGGGGGACAAACGCUACUUCACCUGCAGGCCAAACCACGGGGUCCUAGUGAGGCCCAGCAGAGUGACCUACCGGGGAAUAAACGGGUCAAAGCUUGUGGAUGAGAAUUGUUGAGUUAAACUUCUACAGUAUUAAAUGAGCUCAUACACACACACACACGACGUAAAAUAAAGAGUCCAUGGCAAAUGGUUUACUUUAUUUAGCUUUUAGCCGUUACUUAAAAUUUGAAAACAGAGCUAUCUUCAUGAAAAGCAUUAUAACAAUUCAGAGAGACUCCUUUAAAAAGCUAGAAAUAUGAACUGUGGGAAUCAUGGUUCUCUUAAAACAAUCUCAAAAUCAGCCUUUUUUUUUUUUUUUUUUUUUUUUUUAAGAUUUAAAGCUUUAGACCCAAGAGAAUUCUGAGACUUGGGAAAAAAUGUGCCAUUAAGUGACUGACUGAUGUUGCUUACUCUGUCUCAUUUUUGCACAGAAUAGUGGAUUUUCCAUAUGCCAUAACUGUGAAGGUUUUCACUAGCUUUGGUUAACGUAAGACCUUCACAUGACCUUUUUCUGUCAAGUAUUUUCAGAGUUUUUAUUUCUUUCUGUACUAAUAAGGACAGUAAGAGAAUAAUAGCUGUGUGACUAGGUAUUUUUCAUGUCUUUGGGUCAAGUUAUUUGCCCUUCCAGGAAUGCCUCACCUACAGGUACAUUAGGACUGUAGGUAAGGCAUUCCUGGAAGGGACUCUGGAGCUCAGCCUCUUGCCCGCUGCCAGGUUCUAAAGCCGCUCUUCCUCACGCGGGGUCACAAGCUAGCUGGUUACCAGAGCUACAACUAGAACGUGGGUCUCCUGACCUGUGGCUCGGGCUCUUUCCGCUGUACAAAGCAUGUCAUCUCAGAUCUUUCUUCUGUUAGUGACUGACUGCCUUAUCUGGAGGAACCACAAAAACCCAUGAUUAGGUUUAUAAAUUCAAGUCACAAUUAGAAUUUUUUGCACGUGCUUAAUUAACUUCCUUAUGGGACAUAUCUAUAAAACAUACAUAUAUGAAGCACUUUUAAAAUAAAGCAUGAUGCACUUUCCUCUUUGUGGAGGAUUGGCCAUCAUUUCCUCCAGGGAUAUGAAAAACAUUAAAAAAAUUAUAUUUAUGACAAGAGAGCAAAUUAAGAUGUGUUAAGAAGAAUGUAGUAGCUAUUCAUUUAAAUGUUUAUGGUUUCUUGAUGUUUUGUGUUAUUAUUCAUAAAACCGGUGUUGCGUUUGCUGUUGUUGCUCUUUUUAUAUUUUCAGUUGUUGCAGAAUUCAGCCUGUUAUAAAGCUGCAGAACUGUAUCAUGUUUUUAUUUUCCUUUUGAGCACAUGUUAACAAACUAAGCUUCGUAAUAGAGUGAUGUAAUAAUGCAGAACAUUUGUGUUGUGGAUAUGUAUUGAAGUUUGUCCUGUAUGUAUAAAGAUAUAUCUUUUAUUGUAGAUAUUUAGACUCUAAACUACCACGGAAAUAGUGGAAUAGUUUGCUUUAUAAGAUAAAAAGCAUCCUUCAAAACGGAGCUUGCUUUGUGCUUUAGAAAUAAUACAUUGAACUAUUUUGCAAUAUACUGUUUAAAAUCUAAAUUCUCUUGCUUUGCUGCCUUUUUAAAAAGGUGUGAAAUUUCAAAUAUUGCUAGAGCUAUUUUCCUGAAAUACAUUUGCAAAAUAAGGCUGCUUUGUAAUCAAGGAAUAUUUUUGAUUGAAGAAAGUGACUGUACUGUGUCAAAAGUAAACUUAUUUUAUUAUAUAGUUUAUUUCUUAAAAACUCUAUUUAUACCUUAGCGUGAAGUCCAUGACUACACUGAACUUGGUUGUCCAUAAUUCUUCCUGUUAAAUAUAAAACCCUGUAAGUUAGUAACAGUAAUGCCAACACUGAAUUUAUUUUGAGGUCAGAGAACCAAUUGUUCUCAUAUUUAGAUUAGGAUUAUUAAAUCCAUGUAAUGUGUAUGUUUACGUAUACUAUACAUAAAAAUUAGGUGUUUUCAUUGGUGUUUUGCUUAUGUCAUUCAAAGUUCAUGUCUUGAGCAUUAAUAAAAAGGGAAGCUGUUUUGGUUUGGAGUGGCAUGUUGUCACCGACCCUGCCUGCAACUCUCCUCUUCUCAGGUACGCAGAGUAUAUAUGCUUUGUAGUUCACUUUUUUCUUCUUACAGUAAUGACUUGGAUUUGUCCCAUCCUUACCCUAUAGCAGUGGUCUCCAACCUUUUUGGCACCAGGGACCGGUUUCGUGGAAGACAAUUCUUCCACGGACCGGCGUGGGAGGAUGGUUUCGGGAUGAUUCAAGCACAUUACAUUUAUCGUGCACUUUAUUUCUAUUAUUAUUACAUUGUAAUAUAUAAUGAAAUAAUUAUACAACUCACUGUAAUGUAGAAUCAGUGGGAACCCUGAGCUUGUUUUCACUUGCCACUCACUGAUAGGGUUUCGAUAUGAGUCUGCAAGCAAUUGAUUUAUUACGGUCUCUGUGCAGUCAAACCUCUCUGCUAAUGAUAAUCUGUAUUUGCAGCCGCUGCUCAGUGCUAGCAUCACAGCCUCAGCUCCACCUCAGAUCAUCAGGCAUUAGAUUCGCAUAAGGAGCACGCAACCUAGAUCCCUCGCAUGUGCUGUUCACAGUAGGGUUCGCGCUCCUAUGAGACUCUAAUGCCACCGCUGAUCUGACAGGAGGCAGAGCUCAGGCAGUAAUGUGAGCGAUGGGGAGCGGCUGUAAAUACAGAUGAAGCUUUGCUCGCUGGCCCGCCGCUCACCUCCUGCUGUGCGGCCCAGGGGUUGGGGACCCUUGUCCUAUAGAGUCUUAAAAAGUACCAUGCUUCUACUCAGCAAAUGAAGUUAUGUUUUUAGCUACUCUCCGAUUAUAUUGUUUUGAUGGACAGAGAGCCAUUUAAGAAAAGAAUGUAUUUCUUUGGUUUUCUAAAAUUGCUUAAUUAUCUUUUAUACCAGUGGGAUUUCAUUUGUUUAUUUAGGGUUGGAUAGAAAACCUUGAGUUUAUAGAUUUCAAAAUAUAUAUAAAUAAGUAUCUACAUUCUACUAAAAGGCUUUGUUUCUAUAUUUCCAGGUAAUUUGAUGGGAGUAUUUUUUAAGUGCUGAAAAGUGUUGAGAUACAGACAUUUGUGGAAUCUGAGCUGAGGCACUGUAAUCUUGGAGGCAGUAGGCCUUAGCAGAUGAACGGAGUGGGGCAACCGCUGGAGCACGUGUCAAGCAGAAGGAUCUGAGGAAUGGACAGCGGACGGCGCUGCAGGCAGACCCGGGACCUGCGGUUCUCCUACCCUGGUGGUGCCGUCUUUACGUGGAAGGGUUACACGCGUGUUUACAUCUACUGAACAGCCGAAGAGGGGAGAGACGUCGCUCUGGUGCUGUGUACGCGGGCCUCUCACUGUUGUGGCCUCUCCAGCCGCGGAGCACAGGUUGCGGACGCGCAGGCUCAGCGGCCACGGCCCAUGGGCCCAGCCGCUCCGUGGCACGCGGGAUCCUCCCAGACCGGGGCACAAACCCACGUCCCCUGCAUCGGCAGGCGGACUCUCAACCACUGCGCCACCAGGGAAGCCCCAGAGUGAGACUUCUGAUGUAGGUGAAAUUACGAAGGUAGGAGAAAAGGUAGAUAAACACUGUCCUUUCGCUUGGGAAUGCUUAGUGCCUAACAAGCGAUAAAAGAUGCUUUCCUCCCAAAGUGAUGUUUUGGCACAGCUACCACCAGAAAAGAAACUGGGCAAGAGAACGAAGGGGAGCAGAAAGAAAGAAUGAGAUAAAGCAUCACUGCAUAUGUACAUGUGUAAGGUUUAACAGAUUCCCAACUCCUUUGCAUGGAGAUAAAUUUCAUCUGCGAAAACCAAGUUCAGAACUCCCAUCCUAAUAUGUCACUGCCAACCUCAGCACUCCAAGUGUUCCUUAGUUCCUUUACUCAUUGCCACCCAGAGAAAAAAUUCUCUUUUACCCUGUAGUUGACAGGUAUACAGAUUAUGCUAUGUGUAUUUCAGCAAAUUUGUGUUUCCGUGUAUGUUAGGAUCACAUGAUUAAAGGAGCGAAAACUCGGGUGAAGCCCGAGGAAGGAAGGAUAGAUACUGUAUUCGUACCUCUUCUUAGGACCAUCGGAGGGCCUGUUACUCCAAUGAUCCACCAGUAGUAGUAGAAACUUCAACUUGGGAAGCUUCAUGAUUGAAACUGUUGGAAGGUUUGACACUAAUGCCCGUGAAUGGAUAUGUUUCUAUGCUUCCAUGUAUCACUGCUGCUUAAAUUUUUUCUUUUUAAAUCAUCGGAGUUUAUUUUAGUUGAAAGUCUUAAAAUAAGUAAUUAAUAAUUUAAAUCUUGAGUUUUCAACCCAGUAGGAAACCUCACACUCAGUUGUUCACUUUUAGUAGGAGGGUUCUCUUAAGGCAUGAGGUAUAUUAAUUGGAUGUUGGAAUCUCUCGAUCUGUACCCGUGUUUUGUCAUCUCAAAGCACUUUGAGUGUUUGCAUUUCAUUUAGAUGAGUGUAUACACAUUUUCUCUCUACUACCAUAACUAUUUACCACAUUUUUACGGUCGUCGAUGAAUCACCACAACUGAAAACAUCCAAACGUCAUCCACAGUGACGUUUCAGCGAGUUGUCUAUGAUUUUUCUUUUCCAAGUAAAGAAUGUCUUUCCUCGCGCUGACUCGCCGCAGAGAACUCCCUUAUUUCUGUUCCCUCUUUCCUCAAGUGGUCCAUGCCCACAUCAACAAGGUAAGGGAACAUCUAUGACUCCAACUAGGAAACACAUGAGCGCUAGUUCUGCGUGCGUGGAGGCGGAGCGCACAGGAUUGGAAAGAAACAGGGAGAGGUGGACACCAGCCGUGCGUCAAAACCCUGCGCAGCCCCGUUCGGGCCUCGUGUUUAUCAUUCGUCUUAAUGAGAUUUUCUCCUCUUGAAAGAACAGGAUGAACCCAUGCUCAAAACCUCGUGAAGCAGUUUGAAAAUACAGCUUGUGAUGUGCCACUUCAAAACAAGUUGGCACAGAAUGAAAAGUGACGUUUGCUCUGGGGCUUGCGGAGGGCCCGUUACCUGGCGCGCGCCGCCCUCGGGCUGCGGCUCGGGCUCAGGGCGCAGGCUGGCUCUUGGCCGCGGAGUCCUCGUAGCGGCCCGGGCCCGGGGCGGCGGCCUCCGGGGGGAAGCCCUGCUGCUGGUAGCCGUAGUGGACGGUGCCGCACGGGAAGUGGCGCAGCCUGAACAGGGGCACGUCCCUCAGGCUGGUGGUCAGCGAGGACGGCUCGAGGAGCAGAGAGGUGCCUGGACGGUGGCCGGCGGCCGCGUGGGGCGGGAUGGCACGGCCGCCCUCGCCGCCCGGGUUCCCCCUCUCGCGCUGCUCCUUCUUCGCCGGAGGAUUGCUCUUUUUGGUGGGUUUCUCUGUAAACCAGGAGCCGUAGGUUGGGUUCCAUAGGCUGGUGGGCUUGUUUCUGGACCCCUGGACUUGGUGCAGCUCCGAGGGCGGGUUGGACUGAGAGAAUGCCAUGUUAACGUGUCCCGCCUUCACGGCCAGCGCCCUGGCGCCUCGGGCAGAGGCCUCUGCGGCCACGGGCUUCUUGCCGGCUUUGCCCGAGGAGGUGGAAGGCAGAGCCGUGCGGGCGGCUGGCUCGCGGCCCUCCUCCCGCUUGGCCUGGGGAGCGGAGACCAGCAGAGGAGGGAUUCCCUCAGGGUCCUUGGGCCUCAUGGGCACCUUCUCUUCCUCUUCCACGAGGGGCCCGUAUUCUAUGGGCAAAGCAGUGUUGAUCACAUCUGGGUCCUACAGGUGGGAGAAAUGGACGGACGGAAACUUUGAACCACAGGCCAAACAUGUUGGAUCUGGAAGCUCCCUUAGCGCGGAUGUCAUCCGAACUUAUUUUACAGAUGAAGAGACUAUUCAGUGUUCAUUGGGAAUCUGCUAAUUUAUAAGCACGGGGGAAUAAGAAACGGGAAAUCAUCCUCAUCUUUGGAGAGCUUGGUGGAUAAGUACCAUUACGGAAGUGCCUGCAGGGUGCGGGGAGAGGGUGCCGGGAAGUGGCCGACUGCCAGGGCAGGGGAGAGGGGUCAGGAAAGGCUUCGCAGAGACCACCUUUGGGCAAAUCUUACAGAUUAAUGGAUUUAAAAGAUUGUAAAUUACUUUUAAAAAUGAUUCCUUUCAACUAAAAAGUCUAUGUGUUUGACUUCAAGUGGGUGUGUGUUUGUGUGUGUGUUGGGGGCAAGGGGAGGGUAGGAGAGGAGAGACACACUAUGUGGGCUUAACAGGUUAACCUCUAGUUCUCGUCUUUCCAUUUCCAUCAUGUUUGGAUGGGCUACACUUGAUUAUAACAUUUCUGGGUGUAGUCAUCGUAUCAUUACACGUGCCAAUAUCACAAUGCAGUGGUUCUUUAACUAGUUUGUAUCUGAUGAAACCCAGGAAAUACUGAAGUGCUACGAGGAAAACCGUUUACAAAAUCAGCUCUGUGCUAGAUGAUUUUUACAGCAACAGACUAAUACAGAAAAGCAGAAGGCAGUUGCCAGAGAUUUGAGGAAAAUCUGUGGUAGAAAGCUUAAAGUUGCAGAAACUUGAUUCUGUAAUAUUUUAUGCAAAUUGGAAAAACCAUUACUUCAGUUUAACAGAAAAACAUAUAGGUCCAGUAUUCAUCAGUAAAGAGUUUAAGAAUAAAAAACAACUACCUUCUAAUUCUCUCUGCUUUAGUCUUAAUUCCUUCCCCAUUAAUCAUUAAUCUCUAUAGCGAGUCAUUCAAAAUAUGCUUGUACAGAGUUCCUUGCUUUUAAGAGGGAUCUUAUGUACUUUGGAGAAGAAAAUUACUCCAAAGUAUAUAUACUUAAGUGGAUGUAUUCCAUUAAUAUUACAACAUAAUAACCUAAAAGCCACUGAACGUAAAGUUCUCUGAAAGAACCCCGAAUAACUUGAAGUCUGUGUAGAUAAAUGCCUUCCGAGCCCAAAGGACCCGAAAAGAUGGAAUCAUGAGGACAGGAAAUGACUACAGUGUGAAAAUGGGUUUGUCUAUUGUCACAACUAAGAUGAGAGGGAGUUUAGAGAGGUAGUGGCUUAUUGUCUGACUUCUAAAAUGUUCUCCAGAACUAGAUAUCCUGACGGAAUGAGAGGCAAGAGAGGGAAAGAAAGCACAUACAGCGGAGAGGAGGUAAGUGUUGGCCUGAAAGUGGUGCGAGUGGUGCAGAAGGAGGGGCCGCCCUGAAGGAGAGGAGGACACGGCUCCACUGAGGACGGCGCAGGGUACGGCAUGUAUCCAAGAGAGAAGAUUUCCCACAGAAGCACUCCGAAGGACCUGCGCACAGGACGGGAGAUGUGGAUACGGGUACACACACAGACACAGGCACUGAGCCACACACGUGUACACAUACACACUCGGACACACACAUAAAUACACAGACGCACAUACAUAUCAUAUACACAGGGUCAUAAACACAUACACAGACACACAUACAUAGACACACACAGACGUACACAAUGUAAAAUUUUAAUUUUUUAAAUUUCACAUUUUUUCCACAAUAAAGAACUCUUCAUAUGGAGAAAAAGAAAAGAAUGAGAAAGUAGUCACAUGUGAAGCUCCAUAAAAACAUAACCAGCAUGUUAUUUUUUUUUGUUCACGUUUCUGUGCUUAGAUUUUUUUUAUAUAAUUGCUGUGAUUUUUUUUUGCAAAUUCCAUUAUAGCAUAAACAUUCUGCAUGCUAAUACCAACAUUUUUAUAAAUAGACUUUGACACGGCUGUAGAGUGUUCCACUGAGUAGCUGUGCCACAAUUUGCUGUAUCAUUUCCAUACUGUUUUACAUUUUUAAAAUAUUUAAAAAUACUGUGCUGAACAUCUUUAUACAUUUUUAAAAGGACAAUUUCCUUAGGAUAAUUUCCUGAAUUUAGAAUUAGGAUAAUCUAGUAAAAGCUAGGAUAAUUUUAAAGGAAUUACUAGGUCAAAAUAAUAUGAACACUGAAACCUUCGUUACCCAUAUUGUCCAUUUGACUUCCCAAGGGUCACUCUGACCAUCAGCCAGCAUUGUGCAUCAGGCACUCCCACCAACACUGAGAACUUCUGCUGAUUUUUAAGAGUUCAAGGGAGCAAGAAGUCAUGCUGAUUAUAGAACGUGGAUAAUUUCAGAGGUGUUGGCACCUUCCAUUCCCGGGCCUUUCUGGGGCUCCUGAUCAGGCAGAGUGAACCAGGCUGCUUCUGGAUGGCCCUAGAUAUCAACUUUCUAGUUUUCUAAGAAUUAUAUAAAACAGUAUGGAGAUUCCUCAAGAAAUUAAAAACAGAACUAAAGAUCUAGAAAUCCCACUUCUGGGUAUACAUCCAAAAGAAAUAAAAUCAGUAUCCUGAAGAGGUAUCUGCACUCCCACGUUCGUUGAAGCAUUAUUCACAAUAGCCAAGAUAUGGAAACAACCUAAAUAUUGAUUGAUGGAUAAAUGGAUAAAGAAAAUGUGGCAUGUAUGUAAACCAUAGAAUAUUACUCAGCCAUAAACAAGAAGGAAGUUUGCCAUUUGCAACAACAUGGAUGAGCCUGGAGGACAGUAGGCUAAAUGAAAUAAGUCAGACACAGAAAGACAAACACUCAGAAGCGGAACCAUGGACGCGGAGAGUAGAAUGGUGGUUGCCAGGGGCUGAGGGGAGGGGAAGGGGAAGAUGUUGGUCAAGGAGCACAAGGUCUCAGUUAUGCGGGAUGAAUAAGUUCUGGACAUCUAAUGUGCAGACAGUGUUUUCCAAACUGAUUUUUAGCUGUAGAAGGGGGUCUCACCACCACCAUUACCUGCAGCACUUUUGUGCUGACAAUUAUUUCCUUUUCUCCAUGAUUCUGUCAAUGUGGAGAAUUUCAUUGAUCAAUUUUUCUAGUCUUAACUCAAUGUUGCAUUCCUGGAAUAAAUCUAACUUCGCUAUUA